rnacentral:tRNA from 1 species
CAGAAUAAAGCUGAAAUAUAAGCAUCUCAUUUACACCGAGAAGGUUAUCGUGAAAUUCGAUUUAUUUUGA